rnacentral:rRNA from 1 species
UACGGGGGGAGCAAGCGUUGGUUCGGAUUUACUGGGCGUAAAGGGCGCGGUAGGCGGUCAGCACAAGUCAGUUGUGAAAUCUCCGGGCUUGAACUCCGGAAAGGUCAACUGAUACUGUGCGACUAGAGUGCAGAAGGGGCAACUGGAAUUCUCGGUGUAGCGGUGAAAUGCGUAGAUAUCGAGAGGAACACCUGCGGCGAAGGCGGGUUGCUGGGCUGACACUGACGCUGAUGCGCGAAAGCCAGGGGAGCGAACGGG